rnacentral:rRNA from 1 species
CACGUAGGGUGCGAGCGUUGUCCGGAAUUAUUGGGCGUAAAGAGCUCGUAGGCGGUGUGUCGCGUCGGCCGUGAAAACCUGCAGCUUAACUGUGGGCUUGCGGUCGAUACGGGCAUCACUGGAGUUCGGCAGGGGAGACUGGAAUUCCUGGUGUAGCGGUGAAAUGCGCAGAUAUCAGGAGGAACACCAGUGGCGAAGGCGGCACUCUGGGCCGGUACUGACGCUGAGGAGCGAAAGCGUGGGGAGCGAACAGG